rnacentral:siRNA from 1 species
UCUGCCUCACAAAGAACUAACUCA